rnacentral:rRNA from 1 species
GGGGAGCAAUCCCUGAGUACAGUGGCGACCGGGUGAGUAACACGUGACUAACCUACCUUCGAGUGGGGGAUAACUCCGGGAAACCGGAGCUAAUACCGCAUAACAUCGCAAGAUCAAAGCAGCAAUGCGCUGGAAGAGGGGGUCGCGGCUGAUCAGCUAGUUGGCGGGGUAACGGCCCACCAAGGCGAAGAUCGGUAGCCGGCCUGAGAGGGCGCACGGCCACACUGGAACUGAAACACGGUCCAGACUCCUACGGGAGGCAGCAGUGGGGAAUUUUGCGCAAUGGGGGAAACCCUGACGCAGCAACGCCGCGUGGAGGAUGAAGUCCCUUGGGACGUAAACUCCUUUCGACCAAGACGAUAAUGACGGUACUGGUGGAAGAAGCACCGGCUAACUCUGUGCCAGCAGCCGCGGUAAUACAGAGGGUGCGAGCGUUGUUCGGAAUUAUUGGGCGUAAAGGGCGCGUAGGCGGCGCCACAAGUCACCUGUGAAAUCUCUGGGCUUAACUCAGAGCCUGCAGGCGAAACUGUGGUGCUGGAGUAUGGGAGAGGUGCGUGGAAUUCCCGGUGUAGCGGUGAAAUGCGUAGAUAUCGGGAGGAACACCUGUGGCGAAAGCGGCGCACUGGACCAUAACUGACGCUGAGGCGCGAAAGCUAGGGGAGCAAACAGGAUUAGAUACCCUGGUAGUCCUAGCCCUAAACGAUGAUUGCUUGGUGUGAUCGGUACCCAAUCCGAUCGUGCCGCAGCUAACGCGAUAAGCAAUCCGCCUGGGGAGUACGGUCGCAAGGCUGAAACUC